rnacentral:piRNA from 1 species
AGUAGAUCGAUGUUGAACUGGGGCUGGAGA